AAGGUAGCAUAAUAAUUUGCCUUAUAAUUUGAGGCUAGAAUGAAUGGUUUGACGAAGGUUAAGCUGUCUCCACUUUAUUUUUUAGAAUUUAAUUUUUAUAGUGAAAAAGCUUAAAUUUUUUAAAGGGACGAGAAGACCCUAAUGAGCUUAUAAUUUUAUUGUUGUGGUUUAAUAUAUUUAAAUGAUAAUAUAUAAAUUUUAAUUGGGGUGAUUAAGGAAUAAAUUAUGAUUAAUAACUUCCUUAGGCUGAAUAUAUAUUGAUUAAGUAACCAAUAAAUAUAUUGCUUAUAAUAU
rnacentral:rRNA from 1 species